UUGGAUGUGGAGGUCUCGUGCGACGAAAAUAUUCUCGAGCCCGAUUUGAAAGAAAGGUCUUUCAUUUGACACUAAUGAUGAGUUUAAAAGAAGCAUUUAUGAAUUAUGGUGAAGUUGUUGAUGAGUGCAUCAUUGGCAGGGAAAGUGGAAGGUCU